AUGAAACUCAAAGGAAUUGACGGGGGGCCCGCACAAGCGGUGGAGCAUGUGGUUUAAUUUGAUGAUACGCGAGGAACCUUACCAAGACUUAAAUGGGAAAUGACAGAUUUAGAAAUAGAUCCUUCUUCGGACAUUUUUCAAGGUGCUGCAUGGUUGUCGUCAGCUCGUGCCGUGAGGUGUUAGGUUAAGUCCUGCAACGAGCGCAACCCCUGUCACUAGUUGCUAACAUUAAGUUGAGGACUCUAGUGAGACUGCCUACGCAAGUAGAGAGGAAGGUGGGGAUGACGUCAAAUCAUCACGGCCCUUACGUCUUGGGCCACACACGUGCUACAAUGGCCGGUACAGAGGGCAGCUACCUAGUGAUAGGAUGCAAAUCUCGAAAGCCGGUCUCAGUUCGGAUUGGAGUCUGCAACUCGACUCUAUGAAGCUGGAAUCGCUAGUAAUCGCGCAUCAGCCAUGGCGCGGUGAAUACGUUCCCGGGCCUUGUACACACCGCCCGUCAAGCCAUGGAAGCUGGGGGUACCUGAAGUCGGUGACCGUAAAAGGAGCUGCCUAGGGUAAAACUAGUAACUAGGGCUAAGUCGUAACAAGGUAGCCUUA
rnacentral:rRNA from 1 species